rnacentral:lncRNA from 1 species
UGUUACAAAUGACAGGGCAUUUCCUUCGUGAUGUGCACUGCACCACCUGGUAGUUAAUGAAUUCUGGAGCUAUUCAUUCCUGGCAGAUGUCAUCUGCCAUGACAAGCUAUUCUCCAAAUCAAUGUUUUCAGAUGUUGAGAGAGCUAAAUGCUCAAGUUCCCCAACUAUAAGCCUAUUUGACAAGGACAUGAUGAUGAAACAGAGAAUUAAUGAAUCCCAUCUGCUAACUAACCUUCCAUGCCACCUAGUCACAGGUGUCUACAGUUCUUACACUUACACUUUGCUAUAUAAACACACCAUUAUUGAAGGACUUUGCACUCACUCAACAGCAUCCGAAGGCAGUAGUCUUGAACCAUACUCUAAAAUCUUCUUAUAAUUCCAGUUGUGAUAUUCUGCUAGCAUAUAAUGGCUUCUUCAAUGAGCUUGAAGCUGGCCUGUGCCAUGCUUAUGGCGAUGGUUGUUAGUGCACCGCUAGCAGAAGCUGCCAUCUCCUGUGGCCAGGUGUCAAGCAGCAUGGCACAAUGUAUAGGCUACCUCCAGAAGGGCGGGGCUGUGCCCGCAGCUUGCUGCAGUGGGUUGAAAGCACUUAAUUCUGCAGCCACGACCACCGCCGACCGCCAAGGGGUCUGCAACUGUUUGAAAUCCUUGGCCGGUAAGAUCUCUGGCAUCAACUAUGGCUUCGCUGCUGGCCUCCCUUCAAAGUGCGGUGUAUCCAUCGCCUACAAAAUCAGUCCUUCCACAGAUUGCAAAAGGUACGUAUUCUAUACUUCAUGUGUACAUGCAUACCACUAGAAAUUAUUGUGUUAGCCCGAUUUCAUAAAUCACAAUAAUAUAGAAAUAUUGACUUCUUUUUUUUUUCUUUUUUUUUGUUUUUGUUUUUGUGGCAGCGUGAAGUGAAGAAUUGAAGCAGAUUAUGAAUUAUAAUAAUAAGCUAGUGCUAGAAUAAAAGGGGUGCUCGAGCCUGUUCGAACUAAUUCCCCGUUGAGGGAUUUAGAAUCUUUUCUUUCUUACGAGUUUGUCUUUACAAUAUUGUAUGCAUUAUGUGUCUGCAAAAACCUCGUAUUUUUUCUUCCCCUCACUUUUUUAUAAAAGAGUGUUGUGAGAGUAGAAUAUUUUUUGCAUGCUGUUCUGGGGUAACGGGAAGAAAAAAAGAAACAAUGGCUUCAGCAUAUCGCACAAAAUAUAAUAAUAGAAGAUUAUAGAAAAAAGAAUAGAAAAAUGUUAAGCAAAGAAACAACCAAGUUGGAACUAGUGUCGAACAAAACUCAGCUGCCAUUCCCUCCACAACUGAACCAAACCCCAGCUGCCUUCCUCGCCAGCACCGAUCAGAAACCAGCCAUAACCUCCCCUGAAAUCAGCCCUCAGUUUGACUCCAAAACAGCCACAACACAGCAGCCCUGAAAUCAGCCCCCAGCAACCUGUAGUUCAGGCCAACACUCCCAACAAAGAGAGGACGUACCACUAACCUAUAAAAAACAGCAGCAAAAACCACCCAUCCCUCCUCUCUCACCGACAACACAACAACUAAAGUGAUCCGAAGAGGAAAGAGGUGAAACUAAAGUCAUCACUCACAUGCCCACACUUGAAAUUCUGAAGAGGAAAGAAAGACAGAAUGAUAUAUGAAAAGAAAACAUGAGCAAUUUGGUCAGAAAACCGUUGAAGUUGAAACUCUGAAAAACGCUUUGGAACUUCCAUUCUCGACGCGGCAUGCAGGUCUUCGCCAUUCUAUAAUGAAUUGCAAAUCGACAGGAAGUUGACAGGUUCUAUGAAGAUGGCAUAGUUGAGUGUAGCACGAGGUGCAAAGUUUUGUGAAGGUGGCCUUUUUUAAGGAGGGGGGCUAGAGCGUAACAAGGAUGGCCAUUUAAGAUUUCUUGAAAGUCAUAAGAAAGGAAAUCACAAUAAUUAAGAAGGUGUUAAUUGAAAAGUAUAUAAAACAGAAACUCUAAAUGCUUAGUAACUUGGAUUUAAACAUGAGAUGGAGUUGCUACAGAAAAGUAACAGCUGCUGGAAAAAACAGUGAUAAUCAAUAAUAACAGUUGAGCAAAUGGAUUUCUAAUGCCAAGUUAACAUCGCAGAACAACAACUCAUAUUCGCAUCAAUGCUUAGCAGCUGGGUUUCAAAAUUCAGUGCUAGAAGUGCUGGAGAAAAAGUAAAAGUUGCAGGAAAAGACAAUUAUAAUCAAUGAUAACAGUGGAGCAAAUGGAAUCAUUAUUAAAAAAAAAAAAGGAAAAGCAAAGAACAUAAUCAAUCACCUGGUCCAUUUGUGUGUGUAACAAUGUUCCAUUCAUUGUAAUGCUUAUUCGAAUUCCGAGCUUUCUAGUUUUGUUCUUUGAAGUUUAAUCUCCUAAUGUUGCCGACUCAAACUAAAUCAUGCACAAUGAUCGCAAAAGGUUUAUGGAGCCAACUUAAUUAAGAUUGUUCCUACUUAGAAUUCUUCCAAGUAACUUGGAGGACCUUAUAAUUUGAGAUAAAACUUAUAAAUUCUCUUGUCUAUCACGGCUUGUGGUUGAAGGAUUGCCUCUUUUGUCAUAACAGGUAAAUCUUCAAACACCCUUUUAUUUCCAUGAUUCUGCUGGAGUUGAGAAACAUGAAAAACAAGACAAAUUGAGAUAGAGGAGGGCAAACUCAAUUUGUAAGUCACUGCCCCAAUUCGUUCAAUAAUUUUGUAUUGUCCAUAAUACUUAGUAGAUAGCUUGUGUAAAACUUUGUGAGCCAUUGAUUUAUGUUUGUAUGGUUGUAACUUUAGGUAUACCUAAUCACCAACGCUGAAUUCUUUUUCACUCCUUUUAUUGUUGGCUAGCUGCUUCAAUCUAUGAACGGCUACCAUAAGGUUAUUUUUUAGCAGAUCAUACAUGUCUUCCCUCUUACUUAGCAAUUUUUCUGCUGCUUCAAAUUGCAAUUCUUAUGAAAAUAAAGGAUAUGUAGGGGUGGUGCCUGACCAUAUAAAACUUCAUAAAAAGUGAUGUUUAUAGAAGUGUGGCAGCUAGUAUUAUAUCACCAUUUUACUAAGUGUGUAUUUGGGAGAGUGAUGUUUUUUAUGGUUUAUCCCGGAUAAAAUUUGAUAUUGUUUGGUAAAAAAUCAUACUGAUGCUUAAGUUGUAGACCCCACGUUAAAAUUAAAAUAUGGCCGCGGGUAAUGGAAAAGCAAGAUUUGUCAAGUGAAAAGCUAGUCAAGAGAUACUAUCCAAACAAUAAAAAUAAAAGGUGUUUAAUACCGUUGUAAAUAUUGGACAAAACUAUCCUCAUAAAAAAUGCAACACUAUAACCUGUUUCUCCAUAGCAUUUUUUUUCUCUUCAUUAUAGCCCCUUGAUCUCUAAGCCAUCACUCUUUUUAGAAGAUUUGUUUUCCUUCUUUGUAGAUCUAUAAACCCAACUAUUAUUUAUAGCAAAAGCUUGCUCAAUCCGAUUGUGAUAAUCGUCCCACACCCACCCCAAAUUUUGCUAGAAAUCUUGUAAUUUGAUUCCUUCAUCUCUUGUUUGAUUUUUUUCAUUUAUCAAGUGUUUUUCUUUUCUAUUAUUUGGUUUUUGAAUAAGUUGGCUAUGUAACCACCAUAUGUUUCUCCUUAAAGAUAUGUUUUUCUCUUAGUAGAUCUAUAAACCCAAUUGUUAUUUGUAGAAAAAGCCCACUCAAUCUUGUUUCAUGAUGUCUAGAUCUGAAGUUCCUCUAAUUAUAGCUCGUAUUAUUUUUUUUUAUGCUCCAGAUAUGCUUCAUUGCAUUUGAUAAAGUUGCAGACCCUGAUGUUUUAGAUUAUCCUAUUCUAAACUUCAUAAUACUUGGUAAGUUUGCAAUGUUUUUGUACAGACAAACUAGUGAAAGUUUGUGACGUGUUUUGUUUAUCAAAACGUUUUUAAAGGCUGCUCCAUGAUAGUUUUCUCACUAGUAGCUAAAAGUCAAUGGUGUAGACAUACACAUCAUAAAAAUCAUGAAAGUUCCCCAUUAGCAAUCUUCUCGUUGAAUUAUCUUCGACUGUUUGCAAUUUGUUCUGGUUUAUGAUAUGAAAGAUUUGGAUCUAUCUUCUCAUGGAAGUCCCUUUAGUUGUUUGCAAUUUAUUCUGGUUUAUGAUAUUAAAUAUUUGGAUCUAUCUUCUCAUUGAAUUACCUUUAGUUGUUUGUAAUUUGUUUUGAUUUAUGAUAUGAAAUAUUUGGAUCUGUAGAUGUUAGAGAGUUUGAAAAUGAUAAGAGUUUGGUGUUCCUAAAUGGACUUUGUUUGAACGAUAAGUUCUAUUGGAAUUUAUAUCAAAUAUUAUUUUGAGGUGGCUUGGCAUUGUAUGUGAUGAUUUUUUAUUGUGAAAAAAUAAUAUGUGAACUUAGAAUUCCAUUUGCUUUUGAAAUUUAAAUAUAAUCAUGGAUGAUAAUUGUGUAUCUCUAGAUUUUCAAAGGUGGUUUUUUAAAGUUGUCGAAGAAUUGCUUACCUUUUGCCUUUGAUUCGAAAAUUUCAUUUCCUCAUUGAAUCCUUCAAUAUUCAAUAUUCAAUUAUGCCUUUGAUUCGAAAAUUUCAUUUCCUCAUUGAAUCUUUUAAUAUUCAAUUAUUCCUAUUUAAAGACGGGUACCCAAAUAAUCAUUAUCAUUAGUAUAUAUCUAUUGCAUAAAUAAACACAACAGAACACAAUAGGAAUAGGUAUUUGAAUCAACUGCAUUGAUGGCAACAUUACCAUAUUUUUUAAUAUCAAUUUUGUAAGAAUUCCCAUGCAUAUAACAUCUUUAAUAACUACUACAAAGUUUAAAUGCUCAUGUGUCCUUUUGUGGUUGAUGAAUUAUGUUAGAAAAAAAAAACCAAUGGAAAGUUAUGAAAGCUUGGAUAAAGCAUCUUGGACUAAAGAGAUGUUGUAUACAUUCUCUGAUAUUUUUAUUGUCGCUAUUGAUAGAAGAAUGAGGCCAAGCACUCAUUUCGAUAAGGCUAGAUAGAAUUGUUAUGGUUGUCUUAAAAAAAAAAAUUGAUCAUGUUUUUAGUAAGACUCAACUGAACAUCAUGCUUGAAGUCUAUCUUCUGAAUUUUUAUUUUAUGAUGAUGUUGUGAAUCAAAACACUCAAGAUAUUAAUGUUAAUGAAUAAGAAAAUUUGAAGGAAGAAAUUGGUGAUUUAGAAGAGCAUUUUAUUAUUCCCAAUUAUAUAGACAACGUCGGCAAACAAAUUUAGUUGCUGGAGUUAAUAUGGGAAAUAUUCCUCCCAAUGUAGUAUCAUGGUACAUUAAGACGAGCCUUCUUCAAAAACCAUGAACAUGACCCACAACAAUAUUCCCCUUCCUAUUUAGAUUAUGGUUCACCCACUUAUAAUAAGGGUGAGAAGUAGGGUACAGCUUCAUCUUGUUCACAAGAUUUUUGUAUUUUUCCCAUCAUAAUACAUAGUUCAUAGCUAGCAGUCCCUGAUAGAGCAUACGUUGCCGUAUUCUCUUUUCCCUUCUGAUUUUCAAUUUCGUAAUCAAAACCUAGCAGCUUAGCCAACCACAGGUGUCGAAAAGGGCACGUAGGAUAUCUUCUGUUCUAAGAGAUAUUUGAGAGCAAUAAGUGCCCCCUAACUGCUUGAUAAUUUUCGGUGCCGACAAAUCUUUGAUCUUUUAUGGAUAUGUAAAAGCCCUUUCUCUUGUAAUAAUACACCCUAAGUAUUUCACUCUAUCACUGCCAAAUGUGCAUUUGCGUUUGUUUUUGCCAUCACCUCAUGUGUUCUUCGCCCUUCAAACCUUUUUAUUAGUUCUUCAACGUGUUCGUAAUGUGAAUGCAAUUUACUUUUAGCUUGUUUCGUACUGUAAUUAUGAUUAUUUUUAAAUAAUUUUUCAUGUUAAAAUGUAUAAUAAUGAUAUUUUUUAAUUUUUUUAAAAAUUAUUUUUGACAUAAAAAUAUUAAAAUAAUUUAAAAAUACUAAAAACAUAUAAAUAAAAUAAUAAAAAAGCAAAAGAGAGGGAAGGCGGUGCUAAAGUGCCCACGUUAUUUGAACAUUGAAAUUAAAAAAAUAAAAAUAAAAAAAAUCGCAAGUGAUCCUCUCACGCAAAUGACUAGCAUUAUUUGAUUUCAAAACUCUCAAACUCUCUUGAUCCAUCCUCCGCAACAUGAUAAUUCUUUUCUGGAAAUCAUAUAUACUCCUUGGAAAAACAAUGAGGAAUUAACAACAUUUUUUAAGAAGAGGGUCAAAUAAGAUUCUUUGUAAGUUUGAGGGACCAAAACAGCAGAAAGGGGAGGAAGAAAAACUCUUCUGGGCCCACAAUAGUUAAUUCGUCACUUGUCGGUGCAUUAAAGGCACGUCACAUGGUCUAUCAAUCAACAAUAAAAACAAAAAAUCGGUCCCCAAAUUUUAUUCUCUUCAAUACGUGAUGGUAAAGAGUUAAAAUUGACGCUUCAUUAUUCAUAACCAAUCACUGAUGAGUCACCGAUGAGGAUGAAGUUUUAGAAAUGUGGGAACGGUUUUUUUAAAAAAUAUUUUUUAUUAUUUUUAAAAAAAUAUUUUUAAUAUUAAUAUUUUAAAAUGAUUUGAAAAUAUCAAAAAAAAAUUAAAACAAAGAAAAAAAUUAAAAAGAUUUAAAUUUUUUAAAAAAUAUUUUUAAAAUAUAAAAAUAAUUGAAAUUAUAAUUAACCAUCCCGAUGAUUAAAAUAUAGAUGGAUAAAUAUACGUUAAAAUGAGGUUUUGAUAUUCAAUACCAAAACAUAAGAAAUAUUAAGAGAUCACGGGCUCAUGUUUGAUAGUAUAAUAAAUGUUAUUUUUUAAAGUUUUUUUUAAAAUAUAUUAAAAUAAUUUUUUAUAGUUUUAAAAAAUUAUUUUUGAUAUCACCGUAUUAAAUUAAAUUGAUUUAAAAAUAUAAAAAAUUUAAUUUAAAAUAAAUUUUAAUUUUUUAAAAAAAUAUUUUUAAAAUUAAAAAAUAAACGAAUUUCUAGUGCAAUUAUUGGCAGCAAGAGAAGAGAAGAGAGAGUUUUUCUGUUUCCCACCGGAUAUUCAAUGAAAUUCGAGAGGUAAACAUUCCGGCCAGGUGUCAUCAGCCAUGGCCAUCCAUUCUCCAAAUCAACGUUUUCAGGUGUUAGAGAGAAUUAAAUGUUUAAGCUCCCUAACUAUAAGCCAAUUUGACAAGGACAUGAUGAUUAAACACACAAUUAAUGAAUCCCAACUGCCAGCUACCCUUCUCCGACCUCUGUUUCUAGGUAUUUUUAUAUUUUAAAAAUAUUUUAAGAAAUAUAUUAAAUUUUUUUAUUUUUUAUUUUAAAUUAAUAUUUUUAUAUAUUUUUAAAUUAUUUUAAUUCACUAAUAUCAAAAAUAAUUUUAAAAAAAUUAUUAUUUUAAUAUAUUUUUAAAUAAAAAAUACUUUAAAAAAUAAUCUCCACUGCAUUUUUAAAUAUGCUCAUGUUAUAUCUUGAUAUCAUCACCAUGUUUUAAAAAAAAAAUUUAAUUUUAAAACAAUUUUUUUAGAAAUUUUUAUAUCAUUUUAAUAUAAAUAUUUAAAUAUAUAUAUUAUUCAAAUAUAUUUUUAAAAAUAAAAAUAAAAAAAUUUAAAUUAGGUCGACAGUACUCCCAAAACCUUAAAUCUUUGCUAUAUAAACACCAUUGUUCGAGGACUUUACACUCACUCAACAACUUCAAGGGCAGUAGUCUAAACCAUACUCUAAAAUCUUCUUAUAAUUCCAGUUGUGAUAUUCUGCUAGCAUACAAUGGCUUCUUCAAUGAGCUUGAAGCUGGCCUGUGCCAUGCUUAUGGCGGUGGUUGUUAGUGCACCGCUAGCAGAAGCUGCCAUCUCCUGUGGCCAGGUGACAAGCAGCUUGUCACAAUGUGUAGGCUACCUCCAGAAGGGCGGGGCUGUGCCCGCAGCUUGCUGCAGUGGGUUGAAAGCACUUAAUUCUGCAGCCACGACCACCGCCGACCGCCAAGGGGUCUGCAACUGUUUGAAAUCCUUGGCCGGUAAGAUCUCCGGCAUCAACUAUGGCCUCGCUGCUGGCCUCCCUUCAAAGUGCGGUGUAUCCGUCUCCUACAAAAUCAGUCCUUCCACUGAUUGCAAAAGGUACGUAUUCUAUACUUCACGUGUACGUACAUGCAUGCCACUGGAAAUUAUUGCGGUGGCCUGAAUAUAUAUUUCACAAAUCACUAUAAUAUAGAAAUAUUGACUUCUUUUUUUUCAUUUUUUUUU